rnacentral:tRNA from 1 species
AUAAACAAAGUACACUAGUAUAAUUUAGUUACAUUAAAUAGGGCCUUUUUAAGGUGUUUGUA